UACGUAGGGUGCAAGCGUUUGUCCGGAAUUAUUGGGCGUAAAGGGCUCGUAGGCGGUUUGUCGCGUCGGCUGUGAAAACCUGAGGCUCAACCUCGGGCCUGCAGUCGAUACGGGCAAACUAGAGUUCGGUAGGGGAGACUGGAAUUCCUGGUGUAGCGGUGGAAUGCGCAGAUAUCAGGAGGAACACCGGUGGCGAAGGCGGGUCUCUGGGCCGAAACUGACGCUGAGGAGCGAAAGCGUGGGGAGCGAACAGG
rnacentral:rRNA from 1 species